UUUUUCAUGUUGAGUUGUGUAGUUUUCUCAAGGGACUAGCAAUCUUGUUUACGCACAUAUUGCAACUGUCGAACUCAUCCAGUCCUGAUCUUCUGAGCCCUUUUUUCUUUUCUGUGUCUUAUUAGUAAAGUCCUUACAUAUAUGUGCCAUUUUUUUUACAGGCGACGAACCCUAGUUGCCAUUGGGACUCAUGACUUGGACACAAUACAAGCUCCUUUCUCAUAUGAGGCUUUGCCACCCUCAAGCAUAAGUUUUGUGCCACUGAAAUAGGUGAAGAACUUGAGAGCUGAUGAACUCAUGGAAUUUUACAAAG